UCCGCCCCUCCCGGCUCCCAGUGCGGCCUGGCGGAGUUGGGAGCGGGGGGGAUGGCUGAGGGGAGCCUAUCCCCUCGUUCUGUGUCCCCCGUUGUGCGAGAGUAGAAGAUCUUGAGCAGCGUGGGAAUCCCUGAAGUUGCAGCUUUUUAGAGGUUAUUUUAAAGACCACAGGAAAGCCCCUUGGCAGGAUUCCCAGAAUGUAUCCAGAAUGCUUUGAGCUGAAGAUUGGGAUAAAGAACAAUGUUUUGUGCAGUGGAUGUUGUCCUCAGCUCUGAACUGAUGUCUAGCUGAUGGGAAGCUGGCAAACUACUUCUCUCACCCUGCUCUUUAAGGUAACUGCAGGAAAAUAGACACCUCUAUGAAACAGGCCAAAUGCACAUCCCUGUAGCUGGUGUAGUUUCCUAAGGUCGCUGCCAUAAGGAGGUGAAGAGAAAGCUUGCUUUUCACUUGCCAUUCACAACAUGGAAACCAGAUGAAGAGAGUACUUGCAAAAUUAGUCCAUAACCAACAGCUUUCCCUGAGCUAAAAUAUAUUUUGAACCAUUCUGAAGGAUAGAAGAAAUGUGAAAUUGUCUCACCAUUUUCCAGCCUCUCUGGCCAUUGGAUUUUUUAAAGUUCCAAAAGCUGGUAAAGUCUAAACUAUAUAGCUGUCUGCCUGCAGGAAAUUCAACAAUCACUUAAUUGUUUUGUCUUCUGAAAACAAAGCCAUGAAAAACAAACAAGUGUCUUUCUAAAGAGUUCCAGCUCUCUUCAUGAACAUGUAUUGCAUCCAAAUAAA